CCCGCUCAGUCUGUCGCUGUCGUUGUGUCCUUGGGCAAGACACCUAACCCACCUUGCCUGCUGGUGGUGGUCGGAGGGACCGGUGGCGCCAGUGCUCGGCAGCCUCGCCUCUGUCAGUGCGCCCCAGGGCAGCUGUGGCUACAUUGUAGCUCAUCCCCACCAGUGUGUGAAUGUGUGUGUGAAUGGGUGAAUGACUGAUUGUGUUGUAAAGCGCCUUGGGGGGUUCCAGGACUCUAGAAGGCGCUACAUCAAAUACAGGCCAUUUAUCAUUAAAACAUUAUCGUAGACACUAUUGAGACGUCAUUAUUUAAAUAUAAGUUAUUUUUGUUCACCAUAACUUCAACCAAGAAAUAAGAUGUAUUGAUUUGAUGAAACCACGCUGUGUCAUGCAGUCCUAUAUGUGUAACACACACACACACACACACACACACACACACACAUGCAUAAAUGCAUACACACACGCUUACACACACUGCAGCAUGUUAGAAUCAUUUGAAUGACUAAUUUAACUACGUUGAACUGCUUUUAUAAUACUUCAUAAUAAAUCAUCACAUAUCUGUGGCAUCAAGGAGCAUCUUCUGAGUUCAAACACAGGGAUGGAGCACAAUGUUUACACCUGAAACAGUAUCAGGAUGUUUAACUCACAGAGGCCUGCAGGUCUUCUGUUUUAUGAGCAAAGCGCUGAGAACCCGCUUGUUAUGAGCGCUAAACGUUAUUUUGACGCUGCCGUGCGGAGCGGAAAGGAAACACAUUUCAAACACGGAACCGAGUCCGGCUACCGAACCGAGCAGAAUUCUGAUGACGUCACACCGGUGCGCGAAGGUGCGAUUUCCAACCCACAGGAGAGGAGGGAGACAGGAGGUUCAAAUGACACAAGAAUCCUCCUGCUGGGAAAACCUGGAGGUGGGAGGAGCAGCCUUUGAAACAUGGAAAGCGCUUCAAGAGAAACUAAACAGUUCAGCUAGACAGAAUGAGACAUCACAACUCCAGUUCUUAUCUAAAAGGUCUUCACCCUGAGUUCAUCUCAUCGGCAGCAUGGAUGGUAAGUUACAUUUACUUUUUUGUUGUUUGUUUGUUACAGUUUUUUUCUAUUGCUAGAACACGUUUUUCAAAACUGUACGUUUCUUUCAAAACUGCACACACAAAACCCCAAACAUAACACACAAAUUCCUAAACUGUGGCUUCCCUUUGCAACAAAACCCUGCCACCACAUAUCAUAACAUGUUCCCAAAAUAGAACACCUGUUUUCAUUUGGUAAACACAGCCACAUUUUCACAUGACACACACAUACCAUUCAUUGCUUAAACACAAGUAGCCUUUGGGUGAACACUACCAAGCAUGGAAAGAACACUGAAGAGCAAAACUGAAAACACAAUUGUC
rnacentral:lncRNA from 1 species